AGUGAACGCUGGCGGUGGGCCUAACACAUGCAAGUCGAACGGCAGCACAGUAAGAGCUUGCUCUUACGGGUGGCGAGUGGCGGACGGGUGAGGAAUACAUCGGAAUCUACUUUUUCGUGGGGGAUAGCGUAGGGAAACUUACGCUAAUACCGCAUACGACCUACGGGUGAAAGCAGGGGAUCUUCGGACCUUGCGCGAUUGAAUGAGCCGAUGUCGGAUUAGCUAGUUGGCGGGGUAAAGGCCCACCAAGGCGACGAUCCGUAGCUGGUCUGAGAGGAUGAUCAGCCACACUGAAACUGAGACACGGUCCAGACUCCUACGGGAGGCAGCAGUGGGGAAUAUUGGACAAUGGGCGCAAGCCUGAUCCAGCCAUACCGCGUGGGUGAAGAAGGCCUUCGGGUUGUAAAGCCCUUUUGUUGGGAAAGAAAAGCAGCAGGUUAAUACCCCGCUGUUCUGACGGUACCCAAAGAAUAAGCACCGGCUAACUUCGUG
rnacentral:rRNA from 1 species